rnacentral:rRNA from 1 species
GAUGAACGCUGGCGGCGUGCCUAAUACAUGCAAGUCGAGCGAACGGACGAGAAGCUUGCUUCUCUGAUGUUAGCGGCGGACGGGUGAGUAACACGUGGAUAACCUACCUAUAAGACUGGGAUAACUUCGGGAAACCGUAGCUAAUACCGGAUAAUAUUUUGAACCGCAUGGUUCAAAAGUGAAAGACGGUCUUGCUGUCACUUAUAGAUGGAUCCGCGCUGCAUUAGCUAGUUGGUAAGGUAACGGCUUACCAAUGCAACGAUGCAUAGCCGACCUGAGAGGCGGGGCGGCCACAAUGAAAAUGAGACACGGUUCAGACGAAGACGGGAGGCAGCAGUAGGGAAUCAUCCGCGAUGGGCGAAAGCCUGACAGAGCAACGACGCGUGAAUGAAGAAGGUCUUCGGAGCGUAAAACUCUGUUAUUAGUGAAGAACAUAUGUGUAAGUAACUGUGCAAAUAUUGACGGCACCUAAACAGAAAGCCACGGCUAACGAAG